CAAGUAAGGUACCUGCCAUCGGCAGAUUUGAGCUUUCUUCUUGGACACCUAAUACCCACAGUCCUCCAGGCUCCGGUAGACUGCAAAUGACCUGCUUUCUUUCUGUUCCCGGGCUGCGUUUGGACCCCUGUCGGACAGUAAAUCCCAAGCUGUAGAUGAAGGGGUUCAGCAUGGAGGUGAUCACCGUGUACAUCACUGAGGCCACUGCAGCCUUUCUCGGGGAAGAUGACACAUCUGAACUGAGGUACCCUCCAAAGCCUGUUCCGUAAAAUCAGCAAACAACUGACAGGAUAACUUCAGGAAGUGGGUAUUAAUUCUCACGGUAUAAGUGAAGACAUUAAGCACCAGAGUUUAAGUAGCUUGAUCCACUGAAAGAGAUUCAACUGUGUGGAACCUAUGCCGUGGAGAAUUGCUUUCUGCCAUUGUUAUCGUCCAGCAGUUGCCGAAUAGCUCUGACCUGAGCAAAGCAGUGAAACGCGGUGCUGUUGAGUGGGUUGCCACUGCACCUUUUUCAACUACUCUAGUCUUGUGGAGAAAAUACCCCUUCUAAAUUUUUUCUUCAUUGAAUACUCUCCCUCAGCUCCAGAGUACCAUAUAGAGUUUUCUUGUAUUUUAGAGUUACUGUUUUAUCAAAGUUUACCAGUCUUUUGUAUUACAUUUCUCCUGUCUAAA
rnacentral:lncRNA from 1 species